GGGGGCGUAAAGGUUUCGACGGGGUACUUGAAGUGUGAUAAGCGAGCGGAGUACGGCGUGAGCUCCAUAACCGUCGCCACGUUUAAAUAUAAACGCAAGAAAUAACAUUACAGUUUCUAGAAAUAGCGAACUGGUAGCUGCUUAAGUCAGCUACUGUCCACCGGGAGAGUACCGCGGCUCUCGCUUGGGCAUUGAUUAGCGGUGAACGUCGUGCGGAAGUGUCCGUGUCCGCAUGAUGUAUACGGACUACUUUGUCUCUCAGCCCGACUAUCGGCGGUCUGACAGGGGAAUCAUAAUAGGUAGGAUACGCUCGUAGAAAGUUGCAUGGAUAUUACUUCGGACAGGGGUUCAAUUCCCCUCGCCUCCACCA
rnacentral:tmRNA from 1 species